AUGGAUGCCGAGAUGCCUCUUCUGCAGCUUGUGACCCAGGCCAAGAAGCCGAUGGCCGCUCCUCCGCUCCAGGAUGCUACCCGGCUGGCCAGCGCUUGGGCGCUUGUCAAUGCAAGCAUCAUCAUCGUCUCCUACGCCUUGAGCUCCGCCAUCGUCCCUGCACUCUGCCAGCUGCCGUGCUGCGAUUUAUGCAGGGAGGACGCCAUGGAACGCGCCCUCUUGAUCGGGCUGUGGUGUUGCAGCGCACUUCAGGCGGCCGCGGCGGCGCUGGCUCUGCUUCUUCUGUGCCGCCGCCACCCGAUCCGCCGUGCUGUUGCCUACCUCGCCGUCGCGGUCGCCAUCGUCGGUCACUUGUUUGUUGUCCGGCAUCGCCCCGCUCGCCGCCGACGCCGGACUAGGACCCGUCUUGCUCUUCCCCUUGAUCGUCUACGCCGCGGCGGCGGUGGUGCUGCUACUCCCGUGCCGUUGCCGCCGGAUCUGGCAUGCCCUCGCCUACCUCACGGUCGCGGUGGUGGCCGUCGUCCUCGGCUGCUGUAUUUUGGCGAGCUUCGUUCCCAUCGCCGUCGACACAGGACUAGGCUUGCUCAUCGUCUUGAUAGUCUACGUGGCGGCCAUGUUCACCCUUGCGGUGGGCGACCUCAGCUUCAUGGCCCUGCUCCUGGGAGGAGAAUAUCCCUGGGACUGCUGAUAGCUCAUGCCCAUGGAUCAGCUCAUGAGGCUAGGAGUAAGCUUUCUCGGAGAUCUUCAGCCCCUGCCGAGACGGCAUCAGCAUUUCAGCAACCUGCUCGAGUCUUGCCGUGUCUACGCCUAUGA
rnacentral:rRNA from 1 species